GAAACCGAGUCUUAACCGGGCGUUAAGUUGCAGGGUAUAGACCCGAAACCCGGUGAUCUAGCCAUGGGCAGGUUGAAGGUUGGGUAACACUAACUGGAGGACCGAACCGACUAAUGUUGAAAAAUUAGCGGAUGACCUGUGGCUGGGGGUGAAAGGCCAAUCAAACCGGGAGAUAGCUGGUUCUCCCCGAAAGCUAUUUAGGUAGCGCCUCGUGAAUUCAUCUCCGGGGGUAGAGCACUGUUUCGGCUAGGGGGCCAUCCCGGCUUACCAACCCGAUGCAAACUGCGAAUACCGGAGAAUGUUAUCACGGGAGACACACGGCGGGUGCUAACGUCCGUCGUGAAGAGGGAAACAACCCAGACCGCCAGCUAAGGUCCCAAAGUCAUGGUUAAGUGGGAAACGAUGUGGGAAGGCCCAGACAGCCAGGAUGUUGGCUUAGAAGCAGCCAUCAUUUAAAGAAAGCGUAAUAGCUCACUGGUCGAGUCGGCCUGCGCGGAAGAUGUAACGGGGCUAAACCAU
rnacentral:rRNA from 2 species